rnacentral:rRNA from 1 species
ACUGAACGCUGGCGGCAUGCCUUACACAUGCAAGUCGAACGGCAGCGGACCUUCGCGUGCCGGCGAGUGGCGAACGGGUGAGUAAUGUAUCGGAACGUACCUUUCAGUGGGGGAUAACGUAGCGAAAGUUACGCUAAUACCGCAUAUUCUGUGAGCAGGAAAGCAGGGGAUCGCAAGACCUUGCGCUGAUUGAGCGGCCGAUAUCAGAUUAGCUAGUUGGUGAGGUAAAGGCUCACCAAGGCGACGAUCUGUAGCGGGUCUGAGAGGAUGAUCCGCCACACUGGAACUGAGACACGGUCCAGACUCCUACGGGAGGCAGCAGUGGGGAAUUUUGGACAAUGGGCGCAAGCCUGAUCCAGCCAUGCCGCGUGAGUGAAGAAGGCCUUCGGGUUGUAAAGCUCUUUCGGCCGGGAAGAAAUCGCAUGGGUUAAUACCCUGUGCGGAUGACGGUACCGGCAUAAGAAGCACCGGCUAACUACGUGCCAGCCGCCGCCGUAAUAC